UACGUAGGGUGCGAGCGUUAAUCGGAAUUACUGGGCGUAAAGCGCGCGUAGGUGGUUUGUUAAGUUGGAUGUGAAAGCCCCGGGCUCAACCUGGGAACUGCAUCCAAAACUGGCAAGCUAGAGUACGGUAGAGGGUGGUGGAAUUUCCUGUGUAGCGGUGAAAUGCGUAGAUAUAGGAAGGAACACCAGUGGCGAAGGCGACCACCUGGACUGAUACUGACACUGAGGUGCGAAAGCGUGGGGAGCAAACAGG
rnacentral:rRNA from 1 species